rnacentral:rRNA from 1 species
UACAGAGGUCCCAAGCGUUGUUCGGAUUCACUGGGCGUAAAGGGCGCGUAGGCGGCGGGGUAAGUCUGGUGUGAAAUCUCGGAGCUCAACUCCGAAAUUGCACUGGAUACUGCUCUGCUAGAGGGCUGGAGAGGAGAUCGGAAUUCACGGUGUAGCAGUGAAAUGCGUAGAUAUCGAGAGGAACACCUGCGGCGAAGGCGGGUUGCUGGGCUGAUACUGACGCUGAGGCGCGAAAGCCAGGGGAGCGAACGGG